UACGGAGGGUGCAAGCGUUGUCCGGAAUCACUGGGCGUAAAGGGCGCGUAGGCGGCGUUUUAAGUCGGGGGUGAAAGCCUGUGGCUCAACCACAGAAUGGCCUUCGAUACUGGGACGCUUGAGUAUGGUAGAGGUUGGUGGAACUGCGAGUGUAGAGGUGAAAUUCGUAGAUAUUCGCAAGAACACCGGUGGCGAAGGCGGCCAACUGGACCAUUACUGACGCUGAGGCGCGAAAGCGUGGGGAGCGAACAGG
rnacentral:rRNA from 1 species